CUAAGCCAAGUCUCCUUCAAAAUGGUGGAGUGCAGAGAAUCAGAGAGUGGUUGUAGAGGGAAGUAGACAACACAGCAAAUAGUAGCUGUCCGUAACUCACUCCAGAUGCGUCUCUGGGACCACUGCAUAUCCUUAGGAAGACAGCCUAUGGUUAGAGAUAGUCCUCAAUUCAGAGAAGGGAACUGUGUCACCUGGUGGAGCAAAUAACUUAAUCCCUCUGUGUCUGAUUUAUCAACCAAAACUGAGGCUAGAAAGUAGACAUGAGGAUGAUGAGUCAUCUUCAACUGCACCAAUGAGGGAUCUUCUCUUAUCUGACGGGGAACGUGAACAGUGAUUAUCCACUUAGCCCAGAUCCAUUCUCUGAUUUUUAAAAAUGUGAUUUGCUAACACAUACCAGACUUCACAUAGGGAGAAGGUGUAAACAUGGAAUCCGUUUCUUGAAGAGCAUUUCAUACAACGCCCCUGAGGAACACACUUUGGAAAAUGUUCAUCCCUGUCCAACUACCAUGUUUGCGUGAGUUUAUGAUCUGCCUGCCGUUCAUCAGCCUUUGUUAUCAGAUGAGGAAACCAAGACACAGAGAAGAUAAACAACUUGCCUGAAGUCACAAAUGGUAAGUGGUGGAGCUGGGAUGUGAACCUGG
rnacentral:lncRNA from 1 species